AACCUGGUUGAUCCUGCCAGUAGUCAUAUGCUUGUCUCAAAGACUAAGCCAUGCAUGUGCAAGUAUGAACGCUUGACCCGUGAGACUGCGAAUGGCUCAUUAAAUCAGUUAGAGUUUAUUUGAUGGUUGAAGCUACGUGGAUAACCGUGGUAAUUCUAGAGCUAAUACAUGCAGAAGGUCCCGACUGGUUCGCCCGGGAAGGACGUAUUUAUUAGAUCCAAAACCAAUGCGGGUUCGCCUCGGCGUCCCGGUCCGUUGGUGAGUCAUGAUAACUGUUCGAAUCGCUUCGGCCCGUGUGCCGGCGAUGUUUCAUUCAAGUUUCUGCCCUAUCAACUUUCGAUGGUAGGGUGUUGGCCUACCAUGGUCGCAACGGGUGACGGAGAAUUAGGGUUCGAUUCCGGAGAGGGAGCCUGAGAAACGGCUACCACAUUCAAGGAAGGCAGCAGGCGCGCAAAUUACCCAAUCCCGACUCGGGGAGGUAGUGACAAUAAAUAACGAUGCCGGGCCCUAUCGCGGUCCGGCAAUUGGAAUGAGUCCAAUCCAAAUCCGUUAACGAGGAACAAUUGGAGGGCAAGUCUGGUGCCAGCAGCCGCGGUAAUUCCAGCUCCAAUAGCGUAUAUUAAAGUUGUUGCAGUUAAAAAGCUCGUAGUUGGAUUUGGGGGUCCGGUCGCGUCGGGUGUCCGUGUUCGGGCAGUCCGACGGUCCGGCCGGCCGUUGAGUCGGUCGUGCGGCGUUCUGGUCCGCCGAGAGGCGAGCACUGGUCGUCGGGCCCCUUUCCUCUCGGGAUUCCCGCGUGCUCUUAGUUGGUGCGUGCGGGCGGUUCCGGGACGUUUACUUUGAACAAAUUAGAGUGUUCCAAGCAGGCCGGUGCUUCGAAUACCAGAGCACGGAAUAAUGGAACAGGGCCGGGCGUCCUGUUUUGUUGGUUUACGGGACGGCAGUCAUGGUCAAGAGGGACAGUUGGGGGCAUUCGUAUUCAGUUGUCAGAGGUGAAAUUCUCGGAUUUCCGGAAGACGAGCCAGUGCGAAAGCAUCUGCCAAGGAUGUUUUCAUUAAUCAAGAACGAAAGUUGGGGGUUCGAAGACGAUCAGAUACCGUCGUAGUCCCAACCGUAAACGAUGCCGGCUAGGGAUCGACGGCGGUCGGUUGCGACUCCGUCGGCACCUCUCGAGAAAUCCAAGCGUUUGGGUUCCGGGGGGAGUAUGGUCGCAAGGCUGAAACUUAAAGGAAUUGACGGAAGGGCACCACCAGGAGUGGAGCCUGCGGCUUAAUUUGACUCAACACGGGGAACCUCACCAGGUCCGGACAUGGGAAGGAUUGACAGAUCGAGAGCUCUUUCUUGAUUCUAUGGGUGGUGGUGCAUGGCCGUUCUUAGUUGGUGGAGUGAUUUGUCUGGUCGAUUCCGUUAACGAACGAGACCUUGGCCUGCUAACUAGUCGCGCCGUUCCCGAACGGCGGGUCCGCGUCGGCGGUGCGUUCCGCUUCCCGGCGGUCGUCCGUUCGGCCGGACUCCUGUGGGGCGACUUCUUAGAGGGACAGUCGGCGUCUGCAGCCGGAGGAGGAGCGAGGCAAUAACAGGUCUGUGAUGCCCUUAGAUGUUCUGGGCCGCACGCGCGCUACACUGACGGAGUCAGCGAGCGUGUCCUUCGCCGGCAGGUGCGGGCAAUCUUGCGAGUCUCCGUCGUGCUGGGGAUAGAUGGUUGCAAUUGUCGAUCUUGAACGAGGAAUUCCUAGUAAGCGCGAGUCAUCAGCUCGCGCUGAUUACGUCCCUGCCCUUUGUACACACCGCCCGUCGCUACUACCGAUUGAGCGGCUCAGUGAGAACUACGGAUCCGGGUCCAUGUCGCCGGCGACGGCGGCGCGGACAGGCGGGAGAAGCCGUUCCAGCUGAGCGGCUUAGAGGAAGUAAAAGUCGUAACAAGGUUUCCAUAGGUGAACCUGCAGAAGGAUCA
rnacentral:rRNA from 1 species